rnacentral:sRNA from 1 species
AUAUUAGAGAAAGAGAGCUUUCCUACUAUUUCUUAGAGUCCGAAUCGUUACAACGGUUCGAGCAGACAAAACCGUGUAUGGACUGGACCCGCUUUUUAUUUACCAUUCAUAAACUAUAGUUCCUAAUAGUAUAGAUAAAAAAAACAGAAAAAGACGUUGUGGACCAAUUGCACACCGUUUUUUAUAUUGAAAUCAGUGUUCAAGAAAACGUCAGACGCUAUUCGGGAGGUGAUCCAAUGUCUACCGCCUAAAACACCUAAUCGGAGUCUAGACAAUUUUAGGCGGUUAAGAUGUUUAUAACAUA